rnacentral:rRNA from 1 species
AGCUUGCUUCAGAGGGGAUCAGUGGCGAACGGGUGAGUAACACGUGAGUAACCUGCCCCGGACUCUGGAAUAAGCGCUGGAAACGGCGUCUAAUACCGGAUACGAGACGCAACCGCAUGGUUAGUGUCUGGAAAGUUUUUCGGUCUGGGAUGGACUCGCGGCCUAUCAGCUUGUUGGUGAGGUAAUGGCUCACCAAGGCGACGACGGGUAGCCGGCCUGAGAGGGCGACCGGCCACACUGGGACUGAGACACGGCCCAGACUCCUACGGGAGGCAGCAGUGGGGAAUAUUGCACAAUGGGCGAAAGCCUGAUGCAGCGACGCCGCGUGAGGGAUGACGGCCUUCGGGUUGUAAACCUCUUUCAGCAGGGAAGAAGCGAAAGUGACGGUACCUGCAGAAGAAGCACCGGCUAACUACGUGCCAGCAGCCGCGGUAAUACGUAGGGUGCGAGCGUUGUCCGGAAUUAUUGGGCGUAAAGAGCUUGUAGGCGGUUUGUCGCGUCUGCUGUGAAAAUCCGGGGCUCAACCCCGGACUUGCAGUGGGUACGGGCAGACUAGAGUGUGGUAGGGGAGACUGGAAUUCCUGGUGUAGCGGUGAAAUGCGCAGAUAUCAGGAGGAACACCGAUGGCGAAGGCAGGUCUCUGGGCCACUACUGACGCUGAGAAGCGAAAGCAUGGGGAGCGAACAGGAUUAGAUACCCUGGUAGUCCAUGCCGUAAACGUUGGGCGCUAGGUG